CGGCGGCAGCAGCAGCAGCAGCAGCGGGGGCCGCCACACCACGGCGGAGCCACGUCGGGGCGGGACGCCGCGGCGGCGGCGGCGAAAGUCGCGGCGCUGGCCGGCUGCGGCGGGGGGCGGCAGCGGCCCUAGGGCUGGCAGGGGCAGCUCCGCACUCUCUCCUGCCACCGUGCGUGCGUGUUUGAAAGCGGCUGGCUCGCCUGCUGCUGCUGCUGCUGCUGCUGCUGCUGCUGCUGCUGCUUCCAGACCAACUUUCUCGCCCCCUCGCUCUCUGUCGGGAGAGGUGUGUGUCGGAUGCUUUUAUACUGCCCUGCCUCCCUCCCCUGCUGUCCUCCCCCCCCUUUUGCUCCCCCCCUUUUGCUUUCUCCCUCUGCAGCUCCUGCUGCAGCCUAGUGUCGCCCCCCCUCCACCGUGGCUCCCCUCCUCCUCGUGCCUUGCCCCCUCGGCAAGCCCUGGUUUGCCAGGGAGCCCUGCAGCGGGCACCCAGCUCCUGUCCCCCUCACAAAAGAAGCUGGACUCUGCACCCACCUUGUGUAACGAUUUCCACCACGGCCCAGCAAGUUGUACAGAAAUGUCAUGUCUCACUUCAGCAAGUUUGUAUGUCCUCAGCAGGGCACAAGGCAAGGCAGAAUUCAGGCCCCUAAGGUUUUUACACUUUUUGCUUUUUUUUCCCUUUGCCUUGGUUGCUGACUGUAUAAUUAUGCUGGAAAAAAAAAAUCUCUUGGAUGGGUGGCCCCCAAGUUUAAAAUUAACUUACAUUUGAAGCUAUAUGAAAAUAAGGGUUACAUUAUCACCUGCUCAACUCAGUAUAGGUGCAUCCAAUCUGAUGGAGCCAAACCUCUUUCUGAGUGUUAAAGAUCUGGCUCAGUAUAACAAGAACAAGCAGAGCUCAAAUAAAGUAAAUAAACUUGAAAUGUAAAGUUAUUUAACAAAAAAAUGGGAGUUUUGGAAUCUUUGUCAUUGUUCUCGCACAAUUCAGUUACAUGUAAGAAUAACAAUAUAGGCUAUCAGUGUCUUUGCAAAUGUGUGAAAAGGAGGAUUUAUGACAGCUGAGAGACUGAAUUAUUAUCAGAGUGGCCAGAUACAAAAUGGUGCUGUAAUGGAAGAAACUGAUCCCUGCUCCAAACAUUUAAAGUCUGAGACUAAUGUUCUCAAAAGAGUUUCUGUGACUUAAGGGUCGAAUCUUGCUUUCUGGACUUGCAUUCAUUUCAGCAGAGAAAGCAAGAAGCACUGUGCCAGUACAGGGCAGAGUCACAGUGCAGACGUGGUGGUACUCUCAUACAAGUGUAAUUUGGGAGUGAUGCCACUGAAGUCAGUGUGCCAGAUUUUCAGUCUGUCAGGCAGCUCUGUUAACGGUUUGGUGCACGUUCCCUCUGUCUGCUGUAAUGCUCCAACCGUUUCUCCCCUGGACCAGUGAAACUGGCCCACAGCAUGUUGUGCUAAAACAAAUUCAGUGCGUGACAACAGUCAGAGCUUGCAGAAGCUUCCCUAUAGAUCUUCGUGUAUCUCAUGGGCGCAGUCAAGAGUGAAUCAGAGCAUCAUCUUGUAUCCUUGCAGGGACAGAGCUUUUUGCUUUCAGUGAUAACCAUUGUAAACUAUUAAACAUCAGGUAGGAAUGCAGUUAAAAUAAUUGUACUAGAAUAUCAUUAAAGAUGUGACCAAAAGUCACAACCCCCAAACUUCAGAUUUAAUGAUUUUUAAUCCACAAACAGAUUCUGUAUUAGCAGUAGACACAAUCUGCCCAGACGAUCAGGCAGGAUAAGGACUCUCACUUGACUGCCUUGAGACUUUCAUAGUUAGCUAUAACCACUCAGUCUAAGGAAAUUGCUUGUUAAUUUAUACCUGAUAUUCCCCCCACCCCUCAAAACUGCCUUCACCACACCUGCGCUAAGUCACGGGGAGGGGGGGUACGAAGCACCCUUGUCACUGUUGGCCCCCCCAGAGCCCCGGUCUGCCCGGACCUCCACGCCCUCCCUGUGGCCCAUGCGCAAGGCUGGGUUCAGCUGCCCCUGGGGGGGCUCCCUGCUGCUGGCACCUGGGAUCAGCCUCGGGGACCAGGCCUGUAGGGGCACGUGGGGCCCUGCUGGGAGUCGGGAUGCACUGGCCCCUGGCCAAGGGGAUCCCCUCAGCCGAGCGGGGGGACUGACCACGCUUAUAUAAGGCGUGCUUACGGCACUUGGUGCUGUGGCUGAGCAGAGCACGGUUGAGUUGCAACAAGAAGAACAGGGCUGGUGAUUAAGGCAUAUUCCCAAGAAGCAGGGAGUAGUUAAGAACCCAGGCUAUGGGCAAUGGACAGUGAAACGGCAGGAAAUUGUCCUCCAGGUUUACCAAAAUGUGAACAAAUCUAGUGCCUGUCAGUGGAUCCUGGCUGCUGAAAACUGGAAACUUGGCAUGUGAGUUCUGUAUUUUAGAGCUUAAUACUACAAAUCAAUGCCCAGAGAGAGACUGAAGGAUCAUAAUGCGAAACAGUCCAAGUGACAGCAUGGUGAAAAACACACACAUGGAUCUGCUGCUGAGCUCUGGGUAAUGGAAUAAAGUAGACAUGGAUAGUGCUUAGCGGGUUGCAGCGUGUCUGCUGGGGUCUGGACAAGCCUCCUGUGCGCUCCUAGCCUUUCAACAGCCCAAGUAGUCAACCAGUCCAUCCGAACAGCACAGCAUUCGGACCAGCCUCUUGCUACUUAGUUCCAGAGUCGCCUCUUCACAAUGUUAAAAACUGUAAGGCUGUUUUAGACGCUAAAUCCACAAAGCAGGUGGUUGAUAAGAUUAUUGGCUCAAGAAAAUAGAAAGUUUGUGGCUGGGCCCAUUAUAAAAGGAAAUUCUUUUCAAUGAUUUACAAAUAAAUGAACUUCAGUGAA